GAUUAAGUUAUUAAGGGCGCACGGUGGAUGCCUUGGCACUAGAAGCCGAUGAAGGACGUUACUAACGACGAUAUGCUUUGGGGAGCUGUAAGUAAGCUUUGAUCCAGAGAUUUCCGAAUGGGGAAACCCAGCAUGAGUUAUGUCAUGUUAUCGAUAUGUGAAUACAUAGCAUAUCAGAAGGCACACCCGGAGAACUGAAACAUCUUAGUACCCGGAGGAAGAGAAAGAAAAUUCGAUUCCCUUAGUAGCGGCGAGCGAAAUGGGAAGAGCCCAAACCAACAAGCUUGCUUGUUGGGGUUGUAGGACACUCUAUACGGAGUUACAAAGGACGACAUUAGACGAAUCAUCUGGAAAGAUGAAUCAAAGAAGGUAAUAAUCCUGUAGUCGAAAAUGUUGUCUCUCUUGAGUGGAUCCUGAGUACGACGGAGCACGUGAAAUUCCGUCGGAAUCUGGGAGGACCAUCUCCUAAGGCUAAAUACUCUCUAGUGACCGAUAGUGAACCAGUACCGUGAGGGAAAGGUGAAAAGCACCCCGGAAGGGGAGUGAAAUAGAACCUGAAACCGUGUGCUUACAAGUAGUCAGAGCCCGUUAAUGGGUGAUGGCGUGCCUUUUGUAGAAUGAACCGGCGAGUUACGAUUUGAUGCAAGGUUAAGCAGUAAAUGUGGAGCCGUAGCGAAAGCGAGUCUGAAUAGGGCGUUUAGUAUUUGGUCGUAGACCCGAAACCAGGUGAUCUACCCUUGGUCAGGUUGAAGUUCAGGUAACACUGAAUGGAGGACCGAACCGACUUACGUUGAAAAGUGAGCGGAUGAACUGAGGGUAGCGGAGAAAUUCCAAUCGAACCUGGAGAUAGCUGGUUCUCUCCGAAAUAGCUUUAGGGCUAGCCUCAAGUGAUGAUUAUUGGAGGUAGAGCACUGUUUGGACGAGGGGCCCCUCUCGGGUUACCGAAUUCAGACAAACUCCGAAUGCCAAUUAAUUUAACUUGGGAGUCAGAACAUGGGUGAUAAGGUCCGUGUUCGAAAGGGAAACAGCCCAGACCACCAGCUAAGGUCCCAAAAUAUAUGUUAAGUGGAAAAGGAUGUGGCGUUGCCCAGACAACUAGGAUGUUGGCUUAGAAGCAGCCAUCAUUUAAAGAGUGCGUAAUAGCUCACUAGUCGAGUGACACUGCGCCGAAAAUGUACCGGGGCUAAACAUAUUACCGAAGCUGUGGAUUGUCCUUUGGACAAUGGUAGGAGAGCGUUCUAAGGGCGUUGAAGCAUGAUCGUAAGGACAUGUGGAGCGCUUAGAAGUGAGAAUGCCGGUGUGAGUAGCGAAAGACGGGUGAGAAUCCCGUCCACCGAUUGACUAAGGUUUCCAGAGGAAGGCUCGUCCGCUCUGGGUUAGUCGGGUCCUAAGCUGAGGCCGACAGGCGUAGGCGAUGGAUAACAGGUUGAUAUUCCUGUACCACCUAUAAUCGUUUUAAUCGAUGGGGGGACGCAGUAGGAUAGGCGAAGCGUGCGAUUGGAUUGCACGUCUAAGCAGUAAGGCUGAGUAUUAGGCAAAUCCGGUACUCGUUAAGGCUGAGCUGUGAUGGGGAGAAGACAUUGUGUCUUCGAGUCGUUGAUUUCACACUGCCGAGAAAAGCCUCUAGAUAGAAAAUAGGUGCCCGUACCGCAAACCGACACAGGUAGUCAAGAUGAGAAUUCUAAGGUGAGCGAGCGAACUCUCGUUAAGGAACUCGGCAAAAUGACCCCGUAACUUCGGGAGAAGGGGUGCUCUUUAGGGUUAACGCCCAGAAGAGCCGCAGUGAAUAGGCCCAAGCGACUGUUUAUCAAAAACACAGGUCUCUGCUAAACCGUAAGGUGAUGUAUAGGGGCUGACGCCUGCCCGGUGCUGGAAGGUUAAGAGGAGUGGUUAGCUUCUGCGAAGCUACGAAUCGAAGCCCCAGUAAACGGCGGCCGUAACUAUAACGGUCCUAAGGUAGCGAAAUUCCUUGUCGGGUAAGUUCCGACCCGCACGAAAGGCGUAACGAUUUGGGCACUGUCUCAACGAGAGACUCGGUGAAAUCAUAGUACCUGUGAAGAUGCAGGUUACCCGCGACAGGACGGAAAGACCCCGUGGAGCUUUACUGUAGCCUGAUAUUGAAAUUCGGCACAGCUUGUACAGGAUAGGUAGGAGCCUUUGAAACGUGAGCGCUAGCUUACGUGGAGGCGCUGGUGGGAUACUACCCUAGCUGUGUUGGCUUUCUAACCCGCACCACUUAUCGUGGUGGGAGACAGUGUCAGGCGGGCAGUUUGACUGGGGCGGUCGCCUCCUAAAAGGUAACGGAGGCGCUCAAAGGUUCCCUCAGAAUGGUUGGAAAUCAUUCAUAGAGU
rnacentral:rRNA from 1 species